rnacentral:rRNA from 1 species
UACGAGGGGUGCAAGCGUUGCUCGGAAUUAUUGGGCGUAAAGGGUAGGUAGGUGGUCUCGUUUGUCUGAGGUGAAAUCCUUGAGCUUAACUCAAGAAGUGCCUUAGAAACGGCGAGACUAGAGUACUGGAGAGGGUCGUGGAAUUCCCGGUGUAGCGGUGAAAUGCGUAGAGAUCGGGAGGAACACCAGAGGCGAAGGCGGCGACCUGGGCCAAUAUUGACGCUGAUGCGCGAAAGCCAGGGGAGCAAACGGG